GAUGGACCCGCGGUGCAUUAGCUAGUUGGUGAGGUAACGGCUCACCAAGGCCACGAUGCAUAGCCGACCUGAGAGGGUGAUCGGCCACAUUGGGACUGAGACACGGCCCAAACUCCUACGGGAGGCAGCAGUAGGGAAUCUUCGGCAAUGGACGAAAGUCUGACCGAGCAACGCCGCGUGAGUGAAGAAGGUUUUCGGAUCGUAAAACUCUGUUGUUAGAGAAGAACAAGGGUGAGAGUAACUGUUCACCCCUUGACGGUAUCUAACCAGAAAGCCACGGCUAACUACGUGCCAGCAGCCGCGGUAAUACGUAGGUGGCAAGCGUUGUCCGGAUUUAUUGGGCGUAAAGCGAGCGCAGGCGGUUUCUUAAGUCUGAUGUGAAAGCCCCCGGCUCAACCGGGGAGAGUCAUUGGAAACUGGGAGACUUGAGUGCAGAAGAGGAGAGUGGAAUUCCAUGUGUAGCGGUGAAAUGCGUAGAUAUAUGGAGGAACACCAGUGGCGAAGGCGGCUCUCUGGUCUGUAACUGACGCUGAGGCUCGAAAGCGUGGGGAGCAAACAGGAUUAGAUACCCUGGUAGUCCACGCC
rnacentral:rRNA from 1 species